rnacentral:lncRNA from 1 species
GCAACGUUUGUAUAGUUUAUUCAGAAUAGCUUUAUAGGAUAUAAGUAGGCCCUUUUUUAUUUUUUAUUUUUCUUAUAGUUGUUUUCUGUUUUUGUUUGUUUGUUUGUUUGUUUGUUUUUUUGAGAGAGGGAUUCUCUGUGUAACAGUCCUGUCUGACCUCCAAUUCAAAUCACAGUGAUGCACCUGCCUCUGCCUCCUAUGUUCUGAGAUUAAAGGCGUGUGCCACCACUGCAUCCCUCCACUCCCACCCCUUUUUACUUUUACAUGUUAACAUUAAGUUCUAGGAAAAACAUACCUUUUGAGUUGUUACUGUUGUACAGAUAGCAUAUCCCUUUUUGUGUGUUUUGUAUAAGUUAUUUAAAUAUAAGAUAAGACUGCUUUUUUGUUUGUUUGUUUGUUUUGUUUUAAGAUUUAUUUUAUUUAUAUGAGUACACUGUAGCUGUCUUCAGAUAUACCAGAAGAGGUCAUCAGAUCCCUUUACAGAUGGUUGUGAGCCACCAUGUGGUUGCUGGGAAUUGAACUCAGGACCUUUGUAAGAGCAGUCAGUGCUUUUAACUACUGAGCCAUCUCUUCAGCCCCAACAAGACCGCUUUUUAUAAGUGAAAGACCAACUCUAUAAAUGGUACAAUAUGGUUAGAUCUACUUAGAAGUUAGUAUUAGAGUUUGAUAAUCAUGUACAAAACCCUAUUUUUCUUUGCAUCGUAACACAACUCUUCACUCUUAAUUCCUUAUCAUCUUCAGAGACUUUUGUCAUCUCUUACUUUUGCUACUUAGUCUUCUGAGAGUGAUUUCUUAGGCUUCACCUUUCUUCUUUAUAGGGAAGUCCAUCAUUCUUUGCACUGAGGACCUCAUUGAAGAAACAGCCAGAAUAUUUCUUGCUUCAAGGAAUCCAAUUUUAGGAAAGGUGAAAUUUGUAGUCAGAAUCAAUUUGAGGCUCAAAAACAAACUAAAACAAAAGCGAAUGUCUGUAUACUCUGUAUUUUCUGCUUCCUACUGUUCUUAUCCCACAUUCCUUUUUUGAGUUAGGGUCUCAGUAUGCAGUGCAGGCUGACAUGAGCCUUGUGACUUUUCCCUCAACUUCUCAAACCUUGGGUAUGCAGGCAUGUACCAACUACCACAUCUGUCUUGUGUUUUUAAAAAUCAAUGAUGACUAAUAUUUAUAAAAGUUUUAUUUGUUAAUAUGUUUUCAACCUUUGUCAAACCAUUUUCUUUAAAAACAGAGAAUAGGUUGUGAAUUACAUAAUUUUGGCUGGAAAAGCUCUGUUUUACUUCCAUCCUAUCUUGACAUUUUCAUUUCACCGCUUCUGAGAGGCUACAGGGCAGAUUAUUAGAUCACGCUCAGCUGGUACGUUUCUCUGUGCCCACUCUAAACUGAAUCUUUUCCCUUCCCAUCUACCUUUGGCAGUAUGUAUUGAUCACCCUUUUGCUGGCACGUCUACUUCUAUAUACCUUAUUUGCUUACCUCUCCCAUUACAGUCGCUUAAUGUAAAAGAAUCUCUGAGGGAAGGAAGAUCAACUUAGUUGUUGCUUAAGCCAUAUUGGACCAAAUCUCAUUAGUCAUGUUUGUGAGACACUGAUUGAAAUGUUCCUGCUUCAAAGCCUGAUAUCUGAAACCUCUUAAAGUCAUUACCUUUUGUAUUUUGUAAACAUCAGUUAUGCCUCACAUUCCUUGAUGUUAUUUAAAUUCUAGCCUCAGAUACUGUCUUAUAUAAUUACAACUUCUUUCUCCCCUUUUGAGAGCACUGAAUCCUAACCAUGGACUACCAGGAAUUUUCCUCCCCACUGUUGUAAGAUGAGAUCAUACUGUGUUAGUGGAACCAGUUUGGUACUCCUAAACACAAGUUUCUUUUUGUUUUUUUUUUUAAGUGCUGGGACUAUAAAUGCAGUCUUGACACUCUUGAAGAACCUUUUUGGUAGGAGGAAUCGAGCAGUGUCUCAGUUUUAACACAAGCAGGCCCAAACUCUGCCUUAACCACCAACCAUAUUCAGCUAAGAGCCUGGGCUUUUCUUAUUUUUUUUUAUUAAUAGUUUAUUCAUGCUAUUACCUUUUUUCCCCAAAAACUGCUAAAACAGUUAGUUCCUAGUAUUCAUUAUUCUACAUUUGUGAUCUUCAUUUUUAUUUUUUUUCUUCAUUGUAUAAUAAUAAUAAUACACUCAGUUAAACUAUACUUCCACAGCUUUCUUUGUUCUUAUGUGCUUGAAGGUACUUUUUUCAAGCUAUUAAAGUCUUUUAGGUAACCAAAACUUAUGGGAUAUUUUUCCUCAUUAUUCCACAUAUAUUUGAUUGUUGGUAAGGGACCCCUCAUUUAUCUGCCAGCAUGGCAGUAGAUAGAACAUCAGUUUCAUCUUUUGGAGAGUAUGGAGUGUUAGAUGAACUGAGUCCUUCCAAUUUUCCCUAGGAGUCCUUUCAGUUGUGUUACCAUGAUAAGAAAUAGAUGGUUUGGGGAUGGGUAUCAACACAAAUGCCUCCCUAGCUUAUCAAUUCAUAAAGUAUGGUAUGUCAUUAAUAUUCUGAGCUUGUAUCUUAAGUUAACUGUUGUAAAAUUUCUAAUUGUGAAACAGGUAACUUUCAGAGAUUUUUAUAAAAAAUGUAGAACAUACUUCAUUGUGAUAAUGAUAAGUAGGCAUAAUGCCUGUUUAUAAAUACAAACUGAUAAUCCAGGGAAGAUUUUUCAUAUUUUUAACAAGUACAGUAGUCUUGGGGGGAAAAAAAGCUCUACUAGUUUUUUCCAGUACUAGCUUUAGAAAACAAUUUGAGUUGAUUGCCCUGAUCUCACAUGAUAUGUCUUAUUUUAUAAUUAGAUGGACUGUUAAAUAUUUUAAUGAAUUGGUAUUAUGAAAAUUAUUUUUUAUUUUUAACUUAUAGUCGAUUAAUAGAUGUUUAGAAAUAUUGGGAUUGUUGGUCCUCACUCAUUAUGAGUUUGUUAGUAUAAUGAAAGGAUUAAAAAAGAAUAGUAAUGGGUGGAUAUGGGGGACUUUUGGUAUAGCAUUGGAAAUGUAAAUGAGUUAAAUACCU